UCAGUUGGUAGAGCAAAGGACUGAAAAUCCUUGGGUCGGUAGUUCAAGUCUACUC
rnacentral:tRNA from 16 species